rnacentral:misc_RNA from 1 species
UGCUGCACGAGGGGCUGCGGG